rnacentral:misc_RNA from 1 species
UCUUGAUGACGUGAGGUGGGUGCAUCUAAGCAACUGGCUUUACAUAUAAAAGGACAAGGGCACCGGAAGUCCAUAAGCAGAGCCAUAUUCUCAGCAGGUUUGAGCUACAGAGAAAUGGAUCAACAAGAGGAAGCAUGUCUAGAUGCCUUGAUAUUUUCUGGCUCUCAUGUAUUUCCUCUGGUUCUUCACACAGCUAUCGAGCUAAAUCUUUUUGAUAUCAUAGCAAAAGCAGGCCCUGGAGCUUAUGUUUCUGCUUCUGAAAUUGCCUCUCAGCUUCCCACAACAAAUCCUGAUGCCCCUUCUAUGCUUGAUCGUAUCCUGCGUCUCUUCGCCGCUCACUCUCUCCUCUCCUACACCUCACGAACUCUCGAAGAUGGCAGGAUUGAAAAACUUUAUGGCCUAACACCUGCCUGUAAAUUCUUUAUUGGGGCUGUAGAAGAAGGCAAUAUCGCUCCCAUAUCUGCUCUUGCCUACCACAGAGCCACUUUGGAGGUUUGGUUACAUAUGAAGGACCUAAUUCUUGAAGGUGGAAAUCUGUUCAAGAAAGUUCAUGGGAUGUCUAUAUUCGAGUACAUGAACAAAGAUCCAGAAUUCAACACCAUCUUCAACCAUGCAAUGGCUGGUCUCUCUACAGUCAUUAUGAAUGGAAUUCUAGCAAUUUACAAAGGAUUCGAGGGACUCACUUCACUGGUUGAUGUUGGCGGUGGCACUGGCAGGACUCUCAAUAUGAUCAUCUCUAAGUACCCUUCCAUCAAAGGCAUCAACUAUGAUCUGCCUCAUGUGACCCAAAGUGCACCACCUUAUCCUGGAGUCCAGCAUGUAGGAGGAAAUAUGUUCACAAGCGUUCCUAAAGGAGAAGCAAUUAUGAUAAAGGUGACUAUAUAACUUAUCUUCACUUUUAUUGUACUUCUUUAUCAGGUCACCUUCAUUGGGACCUCAAAUUGGAGUCUCUCUAUUGGUUGGAGGCGGCGGUAGGUGCAGCAAUUAAGAAAGAAGGGGCAAAAAAAGCUAAUAAGACAUUGAUGUUUGGGACAGGAUACAUGCCACAACUGGAAUGAUGAAAACGUGGUAAGAGUAAUGAAGAACAUUUAUGAGGCGCUGCCAAAUAAUGGGAAACUUAUAGUGAUGAAUGCAUUAUUGCCAGAAGAACCAGAGAAAAGCAAGGCUUCCCAGUUUGUUUCAAGAAUUGAUAUUACCAUGUUAACUCAUCAUUCAGGCAAAGAGAGGACAGCAAGGGAAUUUGAGGCCUUGAUCAGGGCAGCUGGCUUCACAAACUUUCAAGUUGCUUGUGUUGCUCGUGGUAUAUGGGCUGUAAUGGAAUCCCACAAAUAAUUGAAUUGUACAAGCCACUCAUCAUGGGAUUCAAGUGAUUCUAUUUUUGAGCUGUUCUUUAAUUUAUCUUAUUAAUAAUCCCACCCUAAAUAUGGCUAUCUUUCUUUUGCCUUUAUUAAUUAGGACUUGUCUUUUAUAUGUCUAUUUUAAUAAAAGAUUAAAUAAGGCAAAAGGCCCCUAAAUUUAGGGCGAGUAGUCAUAUUAGGGCUAAUUAUUAGGUGUAUUUAAUGCAUUAAAAAAAAAU